rnacentral:lncRNA from 1 species
CAUAUUCAAGUGAGAGAUGGCAUCAUUUGAAGGUAAGAGGGCUAAAGUCAUAGACAAGUUUAAUGGCGAAAACUUCAACCUUAAAAAGUUCAAAAUUGAGAUGCUCCUAGCCUCCUUGGACAUUUGAAAGAUUAUGGAGGGCAUCGAAGAGUCUUUAUUUUCCAAUGUGGACCUCAAAGUCAAGAUAGAAUAUCAAAAGUGCAUUUACAUAGUUACGUCUGCUAUCAG